CUCUUCAUAUGAAUUGCAUUCAUGAGCAUCAUUCCACAUUUGCAUUUUUGAAUCAAAAUUUGAAUUACAAAAGGUUUUGAAAAGGUUUUAUUUCAUUUUAACCUUAGACUUUCACCCAUUUGAUAUUUGGAUUUUAAACCAAUAGGGUUUAUCUAUAAAAAGGGGUUUAUUGCAUAAAUAAGCUACCCCAUAAUUUUUAGUAUUUAAUUUAGAGUUGAAAAACUAUUUUAUUUAAAUAGUUAUAAAGCCCUAAAGGCAUUUAUAGGGAAAAUGUAUUUUUAUGUAUUUUAUUUUGAGGGGAAAUUAGCCCCAAAAGUUGAAUCACAUUAUAAUAUGGUUUUACAAAUUUUCUGGGAUUUAUUUGAAUCAAUUUGGAGUUCAAAAUCAAAAGUUAUAAGUAAAAACGGAAAAAGAAAAAGAAAAUAUAAAAAAAAAAGAAAACUAGACCGGCCCGGCCAUUUGGGCCGAACCGGCCCAGUCCAGCGUGCACCCGCACCCGAGCCGGCCCAAUGCCUGCACGCGCCGAGCCGCAGCCGCUGACAGGUGGGUCCCACCUGUUAGGGUCUUCAUCCCCGCAGGGAAACCCCCCGCGAAUCUCGCCGCCGCUGAGCCCGCGCGCCGUCGCCGCCGUGACGCCCGCGCCGCUGAUCCCGUGCUUCCCAAGCUCGCCCAACGCGCCCCAAUAAAGCCCACGCCCGCGCCUUUCUUUUUCCCCUGCUCUCUCUCUCGCUUACGCCCCCAGGCUGCCCUAAUUUCUCGCCGGAGCACCCCAGGGCCGCCGCCUUCUUUUGGUCGUCACCGGUGACAUGGUGAGUGUACUCCGCCGUCACUUGCUCUUUCUUUCUCCCCUCGUCAUCGCGCAUCCUCUGACGCCCUUCAUUUCAUGUUUGGUCCACCGUAGCACCUUGCCGACGUGAGCCCGAAGCUUAGCCACUGCUGCCGCCUCUUCAUCGUCCUAGGCGACGAUUCAGGCCACGAAGGAGAGCGCCACCGCCGCCAUCUUCACCGCCACGACGAGUCGCACCUCGCCGGUGCCUUCCCGAGCCCGAAACCCCAC
rnacentral:lncRNA from 1 species